UUAUUCUGCAAGCUCAGUUCCGGGAGAGGUUGGAGCUCGUAGCCCAGUAGUUCCAGGGGUUGCAGGGCGCGGCAGAACGAGGGCUUUGCGCCUGUGUUUCCGAGCACGGAGCUGCAGCAUUUGCUAACUUUCCGGAUGUCCUCUACAGUUCCGUGCCCUUCUAUCUCUCCCUGCGGCCGUUUCCUUGCCGUGGGUGGAGAUGUGGACUCUGAUCCUGGAUCACACCUUUAUAACUCAGGAAUCUGCCAAACCCUGAAGCUUGAGCUCUCAGAGUCCUUUUAUGCCGAAUCUAACCACGUGGGACACUCCCUGCCUGGCACAGGACACCUCCGUGUUUUUAAAGCCAAGUCUUUGGUCACUGGGAUCUGUGUUUCUAAAACCCGGACAAACACAUUCCUAAGUCAGGUUUCUGAUUAGCCCUGGGUUACGGAAGAGAGAACCACUUGCUGGUAGAGCGGGAGAGAAGCCCCCUUCUCCCUAGUCAUGGAUUGGAAGACAAGACCGAAGCUGUUGUGAGGUCUUGAGGCUGGCCCAUCACACUAUUAUUGCUAGGGCUAUCAUAAAAAUCACCAUAAACCCAUAAACCAGGUGUCUUAUGGCAAUUCAAAUUUUAAAACUCUCAACGUUCUGUAGGCCUUAAGUUUGAAGUUGUAUUGGCAGGAUCAGGCUACCUGGGAGGCCCUGGCGGAGCCUCUUUUGUUGCCACUCCUGGAUUCUAGUGGUGCAUACCUUGGGUCCCAUUACUUGAGAGGUAGAGGCAGGCAGAUCUUUGUGGGUUUGAAGCCAGCCAGAGUUACAUGGUGAGACCCUGUCUCAAGUAAUAAUAACAAUAAUAACUAAUAAUGAUAACAAUAAUACACAAACAAAAAACAUACGACAACAACAAAAAUUCCUAGUUAUAUCUGCAAAACCCCUUUCUCCAGGUAAGAUUAUACUCGCUGGCUGUGGAUAUGUCUUUAUGUGGCUACCAUGUAGCAGAACCAAAGUGGAUACAUUUCAAGAAGUCCUUAGUGUGUCUCCUCAUACUCAACCUUGCUCUCUUCUACCAAUUAGACAGUGCUCCCAACCUGAGUUCACAGUGAGCUCUGUUCCAUCCCCUCUUCUACCCACAGACUGGUAACAUACUCAGACAUACCCACUUCUUCCUCCACCCCCCCUCCAAUUCUUCCAUUCUUCAUGUGUAUGUGUGUGCAUGAAUACCACAUGCAUGCAGAAGCCCUGGGAGGCCAGAAGAGGGUAUCAGACCCUGGGAACUGAACAAGAGCAGCCAGUGCUUUUAGCCUCUGAGCCGUGUCUGUAGCUCCUCUAUUCUUACUGCUUAGGUUCACAGGAUUCCCAGGGGGUUAUCUGUGCUCACCCACAUUUGAGCAGGGGCUGCCCUUCAUUUGCUUCUCUUUUGUUUUGAUUUUUUUGAGACAGGGUCUCACUGUGUGGCCCAGGCUACUUACUUGCAGCAAUCCUUCUGCCUCGGCUUUCUACAUGCUGGGAUUACAGACAUAAGCCACCAGGCAGUCUCUCUGCGUUCACCUGAGACAGUGUUACUGGCCCUUAACCUGAUGUUACCAGUUCUCCUGGAACCCAAACCAAAGAAACAGUCUGCUCCAAACUCUCCAUUUCUCCAAGGGUUUCAGGCUCUUCUUCUCUGGUCUAAGCCCAGCACUUAACAUUUUCAGGAUUCUUAGAAUAUCUGAGCUGGGGGAGCUUAGAACCCUGGCAAUCCCCUGCUUCUUGGCUUGGGGCCCAGAUUCCUAAGAGCCCAAAUGGAAGAAAUGGGGUCUAAUGUUUCUUACAUUUAGUAUCCCAAUAUAAAAUGUAUUUUAUAAUUACAAAAUAGUGCAUAGCCAAUGCAGGAAAGUUGGGGAACAUGAAGAAGAGACUCAGGGAAUUAAAAUAUCUCCCGACUUGCACCGUUCUCACUUAGACCUUUAGCCUCAGGAGUCCACUGCCUGGCACAGGUAGACACUCAUUUGUCCAAUUAUAUUCCGUCUCAUCCCCCAGAGAUAAAAACACAAUUAGGUUUUGAUUGCUUAGCCUUCCGGCCUUUCAUGUACCUUUUUGUGCAGAGGGAAUCACAUUACACACGCAGCUCUCUGUAGCUUGCCUUUCUCCUCUCUCUUGGCGUUACUAUGAGUAACUAUGACUUACUAUGAGUGUGUUGAUGUUUUUAAACUGUACCCAUAAACCAGGUGUCUUAAGACAAUGCUUUUUUAAAAUCUCAGUGUUCUGUAGGCCUUAAGUCUGAAAUAUAUAUAUAUGUAUGUAUAGAUAUAUAUAUACAUAGACAUAUGUAGAUAUCUCUCUCACUACAUCUCUAUAUCAAUAUCUCCCUAUAUCUAUCUAUCUGUCUAUCUAUCUAUCGAGAGAAUUUGUUUUGUUUUUUGAGGCAGGGUUUCUCUGUGUAGCCCUGGCUGUCCAGGCUGGCCUUGAACUCACAAAAAUUCUCUUGCCUCUGUCUCCCUAGUGCUGGGAUUAAAAGUGUGCACCACUACAUUUGGUUGAACUUUUUAAUAUUUAUUUUACCUUAUGCAUAAAUAUAAAUAAAAUGUAAUAUAAAUAAAAAUUUUAUAAACAUAUAAAAUAAAAAUUUUAUAAAUUAUUAUAUAAAAGUAUAAUAUAAUAUAAAUAAAAUGUAUUGAUUUUAUUGGGUUGGAGAGGUUAAGAGCACUGGCUGCUCUUCCAGAUGUUCUGAGUUCUAUUCCCAGCCACCACAUAGUGGGCUCACAAUCACUAUAAUGAGAUCUGGUGCCCUCUUCUGGUAUACAGGAAUUUGUGAAAGCAGAACACUGUAAACAUAAUAAAUACUUUUAAAAAAUUA